UACAGAGGUCUCGAGCGUUAGGCGGAAUCACUGGGCUUAAAGCGUGUGUAGGUGGAUCGUUAAGUACCUUGUGAAAUCCCACGGCUUAACCGUGGAACUGCUUGGUAUACUGGCGGUCUUGAGCCACUUAGGGGCUACCGGAACAAAUGGUGGAGCGGUGAAAUGCGUAGAUAUCGGAAGGAACACCUGUGGCGAAAGCGGCUCACUGGACCAUUACUGACGCUGAGGCACGAAAGCUAGGGGAGCAAACAGGA
rnacentral:rRNA from 1 species